CACAAGUGAUCAUAUUUACAUGCUUUAAAAAAAUUGAAAUAUAAUUUAAUACUCAGGUUGCAGCUCAAUUAAGUGAUAAACAUAAUGGAAACACGCCUUUUAGUUCGAGUAAUAUGUUUGGUUUUGUUAAUGUUUUGUAGAACUGAGGCUUUUAUUAGCAAUAAAGGUACUUGUGGAUUCAGUACCUAUGAUACUACAACAAGUCUGUGUUGUGGGGGAAAGAUAGUACGCAGGCCAACGAUCGGAUUCGGUUCAAACAGUAUCUAUUCAGCUUGCUGUGGCACCAGUGCUUUAGAUUCCAGGCGUAACAUGUGUUGUGGUGGAAAGAUUGUCCCUUUACCAGCAAUCGGCUCAAACAGUAUUUAUUCCGGAUGCUGUGGCAGUAACAGUUUUGAUUCAAGAUACAACACCUGUUGUGGCGGUCGGGUUAUUAGUAGACCGACAAUCGGCUCAGACAGUAUAUAUUCAGGGUGUUGUGGCACCAGUGGUUACGAUUCUCGAUACAGCAUGUGCUGUGGUGGUCAUAUUGUUGGGAGGACAGCCAUUGGCUCUAGUAGUAUUUAUGGGGGUUGUUGUGGCACUUCUGCCUAUGACACUCGAUAUAGCAGAUGCUGUAACGGGCGAUUAUGUUAAUUUCUGCCUAUAUGAGAAAACAAUUAAUAAAAUACAGUAGCUGAAUUA